UGAAAAUCAUUCUUCCUAAAAUUUGAAUUAAUCUGCAAUAACCGGAAAUCGUUGUGGAUAUUAAAGCCCAAAGGAGCAUAGAAGCCGCUUUAUGGAGGACCAGUUGGUGUGUUCAUUUUCUACUGAAGAAGACUAGCGAACCACCACUGAUCGCAGAGAUAUAGCCACCAGUACGACAACGGGGAAGAGUUUUUGCGUGCCACCAGUGUCGUUAAGAGGAGCUCUCAGGUCUUCAUGCUGGAGGACAGGACAAAGAAUGGAUAUAGAACGGACAAAUACACCAAGUAUAAAAUUAAAUAUGUUUUUGAUGCAAUCCCAUAGAUGGAGACGUUUUGUAAUAUUUUUGUUUCAAUAAAUGACAAAGAUUACUCUUU